UGUGUAGGCGGUCCUCCAAGUCUGGUGUGAAAUCUCCCGGCUCAACCGGGAGGGUGCGCCGGAAACUGGGGGCUUUGAGUGCGGGAGAGGAGAGUGGAAUUCCUGGUGUAGCGGUGAAAUGCGUAGAUAUCAGGAGGAACACCGGCGGUGUAGGCGGCUCUCUGGACCGUAACUGACGCUGAGACACGAAAGCGUGGGGAGCAAACA
rnacentral:rRNA from 1 species